rnacentral:rRNA from 1 species
AUUGAACGCUGGCGGCAGGCCUAACACAUGCAAGUCGAGCGGAGCGGCGGACGGGUGAGUAAUGCCUAGGAAUAUGCCCGGCAGUGGGGGAUAACGUCCGGAAACGGGCGCUAAUACCACAUCCUAUCAGAUGAGCCUAGGUCGGAUUAGCUAGUUGGUGGGGUAAAGGCCUACCAAGGCGACGAUCCGUAACUGGUCUGAGAGGAUGAUCAGUCACACUGGAACUUGGAAACGGUCCAGACUCCUCAGUGAGGCGGCAGUGGGGAAUAUUGGACAAUGGGCGAAAGCCUGAGCCAGCCAUGCCGCGUGUGUGGAGAAGGUUUUCGGAUUGUAAAGCGCUUUAAGUUGGGAGGCGUUACCAACAGAAUAAGCACCGGCUAACUUCGUGCCAGCAGCCGCGGUAAUAC